rnacentral:lncRNA from 1 species
CGCGGGGCCUGGCCCGGCGCGGGAGGCGCGGGACGGGCCGACUUGGGGGUCCCGCUGGUCCCCGCUGGUUUCGUAUUUUGCCUCGCUUUUCUCCCCUAGCCCGGAGCACAGCACGCCCUGCCGGAGGUCUUUCAGCGGCCCCAGCCCGGGACCUCCAGCCACACGGGCCUCCGAGCCUCGCCGGCCGCUCUCCCCUGAGAGUUGACAAGUGGGUCUUCCCUGACAUCUCUCUUCCUCCCCGCUUGCGCUUCUCGUACCUCCCUGGCUUCAGCCGAGCUGCCCCCUCCGCCUGGAAUACCCUUCCCACACUAUUCUGGCAGAAAGAACUGCUACGCAUCCUUUACUUGGUUCAGACUUCUGGCCUCCUGGAAAUCCUUCCCACCCCCACCCAUAGGUCACCAGCCUCUGCUGAGCUGAUUUAGGAUCAUAGGAUCUUAACAAAGUGUCGUUAUCUGAGUGAUCCUGUUUCAGGCCUGCCGCAGUCCCUUUUCACCUUGGACAGUCAUUUUUGACUUUAGGUCUGGUCCCCAACGUCUCCACCUGCUAUGGCUCCCCGUGGUCUGAGGCUCAUGACCCCACAACCCUACUUGAGUAGUUUGACUCUGCAGGAGAAAGCUGGAGGGGUAGGGUGAGGGGAGCCACAGCUGGGGCAAGUGUACACCUGGAGUGAGUUGGGGCUGAGCACUGCCCCUGGGUGCCCCCAUCACCCAGAAGGGCCUCUCCUGCUCAGCCUGACAGCUCUGGUUUAUCCACCACUGAAAGAACCAGCAAGCCCCUACAGGCCCUCCCGACAGCGCCUCCAGAAACAAACCUGGCCCAGCCAUGUGGUUACCCUGAUCUGAUCUGCCAUGAGAAAGGUCACAAACAGGGACUGGAUCUCAGCACAGAGGGCUGCCAGCAACAGUUCCCGAGCCCCCUCCCCCCAUGUUCCAGCAGGACAGCUGUCACAAAGUCCAGCUUUCUGCUGGGGAGGAGACAAGCAAGUCCCCAUGUGGCCAGCUAGACCCGCCUGUGAGCCUGUGAUUGUUCUGCCACAGGGUCUUGCUCUGUCACUCAGGCUGGAGUGCAGUGGCAGCACCAUGGCUCACUGCAGCCUUGACUUCCGAAGCUUAAGUGAUCUUCCCACGACAGCCUCCCCAGUAGC